GGGCACAUGGUGUAGUUGGUUAUCACGCCCGCUUAGCAUGUUGUAAAAGAUGAUUAGUUUCUGCGGGCGGUCCCCGGUUCAAUUCCGGGUGUGUCCA
rnacentral:tRNA from 1 species